rnacentral:tmRNA from 1 species
GGGGCUGUACCGGCUUCGACGGGGGUGUGGAGGCGGGAAUAGCGGGCGGAGGCGUCGCCCUCCUAAAAAACGGCAUUCUUUAUAAAUUAAAGAACAACAACGAAUCUUUACCGGUAGCCGCUUAAGGCUGCCCGUCCUGUCCGGAAGGUCCACGAGCCGGAUUUGGGUGUGACUUAGUGGAGCCCGUGCGUGUAUUAAGCUUUGCGUACACCAUGAACAAUGAAGCUACCGACCCAUGCCGCGUGACGGCUUGCAGUAUGGCGAGGAAAUUGGGCUAGUCCCGCAAUAACCGUCUGCGCCCGGAGAAGUUUGCGUCAAAGCGCUUUCGGACGGGGGUUCAACUCCCCCCAGCUCCACCA